GGCCAGACUCCUACGGGAGGCAGCAGUGGGGAAUAUUGCACAAUGGGGGAAACCCUGAUGCAGCAACGCCGCGUGAGUGAAGAAGUAUUUCGAUAUGUAAAGCUCUAUCAGCAGGGAAGAAAAUGACGGUACCUGACUAAGAAGCCCCGGCUAACUACGUGCCAGCAGCCGCGGUAAUACGUAGGGGGCAAGCGUUAUCCGGAUUUACUGGGUGUAAAGGGAGCGUAGACGGCUGUGCAAGCCAGAUGUGAAAGCCCGGGGCUUAACCCCGGAACUGCUUUGGAAACUGUGCAGCUAGAGUGCAGGAGAGGUAAGUGGAAUUCCUAGUGUAGCGGUGAAAUGCGUAGAUAUUAGGAGGAACACCAGUGGCGAAGGCGGCUUACUGGACUGUAACUGACGUUGAGGCUCGAAAGCGUGGGGAGCAAACAGGAUUAGAUACCCGAGUA
rnacentral:rRNA from 1 species